CUGGAGAGGAAGAUGGCGGCGGGGUGUGGGGAGACGAGUCUUGUUGAAGUGUGAGACUAUAUGUGUUGUCUGCUGGUGAGAGAUGGAGGAGAUGGAAGGAACGUAUCGGGUUUUGCAGACUCCUGGAGCUCGACUUGGAGCACUGACAAAUGCAGCGGUUAGUACCCUGGAGCCAGGGCAGAGUCUCUUGAUGGCCACCACAUCAUCCUCUCUCAAACCACGUGGCAAAGGGAUGCAACUCAUGGUUCAACUGUUGGAUGAUGUACAAGAACAGUUUGAAGUAGAGCAAAAAGCUUACGGGCAGGCCCUGAUGGAUGAAAUCUGCCAACGCCUCAACCUCGUUGAAAAUGAUUACUUUGGAUUGGAGUUCCGCAACAGUCGGGGGAAUGAGAUUUGGCUUGAACCUGCAAAACUUAUUGUGAAACAAGUGCAAAGACCAAAGAACACAUUGUUCAAACUUUCAGUUAAGUUUUUCCCCCCUGAUCCUGGUCAGCUAUUGGAGGAGUAUACAAGAUACUUGUUUGCACUGCAGAUAAAGCGGGACCUGGCGGAGAACAAAAUAAUGUGUAGUGAGAACACAUCUGCACUCCUCAUCUCUCAUAUUUUGCAGUCUGAAGUCGGGGAUUGUGAUGAGGCUGUGGAUCUGGCUUACCUUAAGAACAACACACUCUUGCUAAACCAGCAAAUGCUGCAGGAAAAGAUUAUAGCCUUUCAUCGGCAAAACAUAGGCCAGACUCCAGCCGAGUCAGAUUUUCAGGUACUGGAGAUAGCACGGAAGCUCGAGAUGUAUGGAAUUCGGUUUCAUCCAGCCACUGAUAGAGAAGGGACGAAAAUCAAUCUGGCUGUGGCCCACAUGGGAGUACUGGUGUUUCAGGGCAAUACAAAAAUUAACACCUUUAAUUGGGCGAAGAUCCGAAAGCUUAGUUUCAAGAGGAAAAGAUUCCUUGUCAAGCUCCACCCAGAGGUCCAUGAUUCCUACCAGGAUACAUUGGAAUUUCUUCUGGCUGACCGUGAUCAGUGUAAGAUUUUCUGGAAGAACUGCGUUGAGUAUCACACUUUCUUCAGACUCAUGGACCAACCCAAGCCAAAGGCCAAGGCAGUUUUAUUUAGCCGGGGGUCCUCCUUCAGAUACAGUGGAAGGACACAGAAACAGUUGGUUGACUACAUGCGUGAGAGUGUGACAAAGACUACCCCAUAUCAGAGGCGGCACAGCAGAGCACGAGUCCCAGCUCGGACUUUGACCGUAGACGUGCCAAAACAGAGUUUAUCAUUCACUGAAGGUGUGGAGGUUCCAGGCUCUCCCUCCUCAGCUGCUGCUUCCUUUCAGUCCGUCCAGUCUGCAUACAAGGCUGCUGCAGACAGCCGGCCCAUCCACCAGGAUGACAGCAACGUACUCCUGAUCAACAAGCAUUCCCCUCAGAAACCUCCAUCAGACAUGAAGAUGGGUCCAGCGAUGGAAGAGACAUGGAAGACUUCCACUCAGCCCUCGCCAAUCUCCUUGCAAGGUGGUUUGGUUGACAGUCUUCAGCUAUCCUCUCUUGCUACAAGGAGCACCCUCAAUGUGUUGGUUCCUGGAUCCCAGAUGUCCAAUCUGAAUUUGCCCCUUCAGACUCCAUCUCCAUUGCAAAGCCCGAUCCUCAGCGAUGUCGGCAGUACGAGGGCAGAUGAUGAAGAAGAAGACCGUCGAAAGCGUUAUCCAGCUGAUAAGGCAUUUUUUAUUGCAAAGGAAAUCCUGACUACAGAGAGGACCUAUAUGAAGGAUUUGGAAGUCAUCACUGUGUGGUUUCGUAGUGCUGUUAUCAAAGAGAAUGCAAUGCCAGAAGGGUUAAUGACUCUGCUGUUUUCCAAUAUUGACCCUAUUUAUGAAUUUCAUCGGGGAUUUCUGAAGGAAAUUGAACAGAGGCUGGCUCUUUGGGAAGGACGAUCCAAUGCACAUGUGAAAGGAGAUUAUCAAAGAAUUGGUGAUAUCAUGCUUCGAAAUAUGUGUGUUCUUAAGGAAUUCACCAGCUACCUGCAGAAACAUGACGAGGUUCUCACGGAACUGGAGAAAGCUACCAAACGGUCAAAGAAGCUGGAGGGUGUUUACAAGGAGUUUGAGCUGCAGAAGGUUUGUUACCUUCCCCUGAACACAUUCCUGCUGAAGCCAAUUCAGAGGCUGAUGCACUACAAGCUCAUCUUGGAGAGACUCUGCAAACACUAUCACCCUGACCAUCGAGACUAUGGAGACUGCCGAGAUGCCCUGAAGGAGGUCCAAGAGAUGAGUGCUCAGCUGCACAGCAGUUUAAUCAGGCUGGAGAAUUUUCAGAAGCUCACGGAACUGCAACGGGACCUUAUCGGCAUUGACGACCUGAUUCUACCAGGAAGGGACUUCAUUCGCGAAGGCUGUCUCUAUAAACUUACAAGAAAAGGGCUCCAGCAAAGGAUGUUUUUCCUGUUUUCUGAUAUGUUGUUGUAUACAAGCAAAGGAGUAACGAGCAGCAACCAGUUUAAAGUACACGGCCAGCUACCAUUAUAUGGGAUGAUUCUGAUAGUGCUGGAUCCACCGAUAGAGGAAAGUGAGAGCGAAUGGGCUGUUCCACAUUGUUUCACCAUAUACUCUGCACAGAAGACUGUUGUUGUAGCAGCAAGCUCCCGGAUAGAGAUGGGAAAAUGGAUUGAGGACCUGAACAAGGCUAUUGAGCUGGUGAAGAAGUCAAAUGAGAAGAGAGACCCAGUUCUGGAGAGCAGCAUCUAUGAUCGAUCAAACAGAUCUUCAGACGAAGUGUCAUUGGAGCAAGAAUCUGAAGACGACACUCACUCCUCCCACAGCUCAUUGGACAAGCAGACCCAUCACCGUGCCAAUACUACAGUGCACGUGUGCUGGCAUCGCAACACAAGUGUCUCCAUGCUGGACCACAGUGUUGCAGUGGAGUUCUCUGUUCCUCUACUACCACACCAGAGCUUCCUCUACACUGUCAUCUGGUCCAGGGCCAGCGGCCUAACACCAUCACCCAUGUGUGCUGGUACCGGAACCAGAGCCUCUCACUGGCUGACUAUCUUCGCAUGUUUGAGAACCAGCUAUCUGGCUACCUGCUGCGGAAGUUCAAAAACAGCAAUGGGUGGCAAAAACUUUGGGUUGUCUUCACCAAUUUCUGCCUGUUCUUCUACAAAACCCACCAGGAUGACUACCCUCUGGCAAGUCUCCCAUUGUUGGGUUACUCGGUGAGCAUGCCUUCCGACCAUGACCACAUCCACAAAGAUUACGUCUUUAAGCUGCAGUUCAAAUCUCACGUCUAUUUCUUCAGAGCAGAAAGCGAGUACACUUUUGAAAGAUGGAUGGAAGUUAUCAAAAGUGCAACCAGUUCACCGGGACGGAUGAUUCAUCGUGGCCAGAAGGACACUUGAAUUGGGAUGAAAGAUUCUGAGUGCUGCCCUCUAAAACCUGCAGAUUUCUGUAGGAUAAUUUAAUACCAGGAGAGCUUCAAAUUGAGAAAGUGAGAGCUGGAUUCAAGAUCCACAGAGAAACAAUCUACCCUGAUUACAAUGCACCUCAAGUUGAACUGACACAACACGGACAUGCUGCUGUCAAGAAUGAGCCUGGUCACUCUUCAGAAAACAACUCCAAUGUCUUAGUGUAUCAAUGGAUGAGUCAUUGUGAGGUGGGAUGGGUUUAGACCUAGAGUUUAAAGAUUGCUUUUCAGAUGAAAACAAUUACAUUCCUGCUGUUUAAAGGUUAACUGUUGUUUUCUCCAGGGAGUCCUGACACAUCAUUUAUCAAACACCAAAGGAAUUGCUUCCCAUACAAUAAAAAAAACCAUAAGAGCACAUCUGGUGUGGUACAC